rnacentral:rRNA from 1 species
UAGGGAAUCUUCCGCAAUGGACGCAAGUCUGACGGAGCAACGCCGCGUGAGUGAAGAAGGAUUUCGGUUCGUAAAACUCUGUUGUUAGAGAAGAACAGCGCAUAGAGUAACUGUUAUGCGUGUGACGGUAUCUAACCAGAAAGCCACGGCUAACUACGUGCCAGCAGCCGCGGUAGUACGUAGGUGGCAAGCGUUGUCCGGAUUUAUUGGGCGUAAAGCGAGCGCAGGCGGUCAAUUAAGUCUGAUGUGAAAGCCCCCGGCUCAACCGGGGAGGGUCAUUGGAAACUGGUUGACUUGAGUGCAGAAGAGGAGAGUGGAAUUCCAUGUGUAGCGGUGAAAUGCGUAGAUAUAUGGAGGAACACCAGUGGCGAAGGCGACUCUCUGGUCUGUAACUGACGCUGAGGUUCGAAAGCGUGGGUAGCAAACAGG